rnacentral:sRNA from 1 species
AAUGCAUUAUUCAUUAAAAUGCAUCAUGUUUGUGAAUUUAUUCACAAUUUGACAAAAAAGGCUUUAGUUUUAUUGAGCAAGAAAGUGGUGACGAUGUAUUCGUUCACUUCCGUGCUAUUCAAGGUGACGGUUACAAAUCACUAGAAGAAGGUCAAGAAGUAGAGUUCGAUUUAGAAGAUGGUGCUAAAGGUCCACAAGCGGCUAACGUACAUCCUCAGUAGUUCUUAAAAAAAUUACUUAAAAAAACCCAGCUUUCGCUGGGUUUUUAUU